GAUGAACGCUGACGGCGUGCCUAAUACAUGCAAGUCGAGCGAACGGACGAGAAGCUUGCUUCUCUGAUGUUAGCGGCGGACGGGUGAGUAACACGUGGAUAACCUACCUAUAAGACUGGGAUAACUUCGGGAAACCGGAGCUAAUACCGGAUAAUAUUUUGAACCGCAUGGUUCAAAAGUGAAAGACGGUCUUGCUGUCACUUAUAGAUGGAUCCGCGCUGCAUUAGCUAGUUAGUAAGGUAACGGCUUACCAAGGCAACGAUGCAUAGCCGACCUGAGAGGGUGAUCGGCCACACUGGAACUGAGACACGGUCCAGACUCCUACGGGAGGCAGCAGUAGGGAAUCUUCCGCAAUGGGCGAAAGCCUGACGGAGCAACGCCGCGUGAGUGAUGAAGGUCUUCGGAUCGUAAAACUCUGUUAUUAGGGAAGAACAUAUGUGUAAGUAACUGUGCACAUCUUGACGGUACCUAAUCAGAAAGCCACGGCUAACUACGUG
rnacentral:rRNA from 1 species